GAUGAAGAACGCAGCGAAAUGCGAUAAGUAGUGUGAAUUGCAGAAUUCAGUGAAUCAUCGAAUCUUUGAACGCACAUUGCGCCCCUUGGUAUUCCAUGGGGCAUGCCUGUUCGAGCUUCAUUUGUACCUUCAAGCUCUGCUUGGUGUUGGGUGUUUGUCUCGCCUUUGCGUGUAGACUCGCCUUAAAACCAUUGGCAGCCGGCGUAUUGAUUUCGGAGCGCAGUACAUCUCGCGCUUUGCACUCAGAACGACGACGUCCAAAAGUACAUUUUUACACUCUUGACCUCGGAUCAGGUAGGGAUACCCGCUGAACUUAAGCAUAUCAAUAAGCGGAGGA
rnacentral:misc_RNA from 1 species